rnacentral:rRNA from 1 species
CCUACGGGUGGCAGCAGUGGGGGAUAUUGCACAAUGGGGGAAACCCUGAUGCAGCGACGCCGCGUGGGUGAAGAAGCGCCUCGGCGCGUAAAGCCCUGUCAGCAGGGAAGAAAAUGACGGUACCUGAAGAAGAAGCCCCGGCUAACUACGUGCCAGCAGCCGCGGUAAUACGUAGGGGGCAAGCGUUAUCCGGAGUUACUGGGUGUAAAGGGUGCGAAGACGGCGAUGCAAGCGAGAAGGAAAAGCCCGGGGCCCAACCCCGAGACUACUCUUGAAACUGCGUGGCUAGAGAGCGGUAGGGGCAAGUGGAAUGUCUGGUGUAGGGGUGAAAUGCGUAGAUAUCAGGAGGAACACCGGUGGCGAAGGCAGCCUGCUGGAAUGCAACUGACGUUGAGGCCCGAAAGCGUAGGGAGCAAACGGGAUUAGAUACCCUUGUAGUC